rnacentral:rRNA from 1 species
CGUGGGUAACCUGCCCAGGAGACUGGGAUAACACCUGGAAACAGAUGCUAAUACCGGAUAACAACACUAGACGCAUGUCUAGAGUUUAAAAGAUGGUUCUGCUAUCACUCUUGGAUGGACCUGCGGUGCAUUAGCUAGUUGGUAAGGUAACGGCUUACCAAGGCAAUGAUGCAUAGCCUAGUUGAGAGACUGAUCGGCCACAUUGGGACUGAGACACGGUCCAAACUCCUACGGGAGGCAGCAGGC